GACGAACGCUGGCGGCGUGCUUAACACAUGCAAGUCGAACGGAAAGGCCCUGCUUUUGUGGGGUGCUCGAGUGGCGAACGGGUGAGUAACACGUGAGUAACCUGCCCUUGACUUUGGGAUAACUUCAGGAAACUGGGGCUAAUACCGGAUAGGAGCUCCUGCUGCAUGGUGGGGGUUGGAAAGUUUCGGCGGUUGGGGAUGGACUCGCGGCUUAUCAGCUUGUUGGUGGGGUAGUGGCUUACCAAGGCUUUGACGGGUAGCCGGCCUGAGAGGGUGACCGGCGACAAUGGGACUGAGAUACGGCGCAGACUGCUACGGGAGGCAGCAGUGGGGAAUAUUGCACAAUGGGCGGAAGCCUGAUGCAGCAAAGCAGCGUGCGGGAUGACGGCCUUCGGGUUGUAAACCGCUUUCGCCUGUGACGAAGCGUGAGUGACGGUAAUGGGUAAAGAAGCACCGGCUAACUACGUG
rnacentral:rRNA from 1 species